rnacentral:rRNA from 1 species
UACGAAGGGGGCUAGCGUUGCUCGGAAUCACUGGGCGUAAAGCGCACGUAGGCGGCUUUUUAAGUCAGGGGUGAAAUCCUGGAGCUCAACUCCAGAACUGCCUUUGAUACUGGGAAGCUCGAGUCCGGGAGAGGUGAGUGGAACUCCGAGUGUAGAGGUGAAAUUCGUAGAUAUUCGGAAGAACACCAGUGGCGAUGGCGGCUCACUGGCCCGGUACUGACGCUGAGGUGCGAAAGCGUGGGGAGCAAACAGG